UACGUAGGUGGCAAGCGUUGUUCGGAAUUAUUGGGCGUAAAGGGCGCGUAGGCGGCUCGUUAAGUCGGUUGUGAAAGCCCGGGGCUCAACCCCGGAGGGUCGACCGAUACUGGCAAGCUAGAGUACAGAAGAGGUAGCUGGAAUUCCUGGUGUAGCGGUGAAAUGCGCAGAUAUCAGGAGGAACACCGAUGGCGAAGGCAGGUCUCUGGGCCACUACUGACGCUGAGAAGCGAAAGCAUGGGGGAGCGAACAGG
rnacentral:rRNA from 1 species